AUUGAACGCUGGCGGCAGGCCUAACACAUGCAAGUCGAGCGCGCGGCGGACGGGGGAGUAAUGUCUGGGAAACUGCCUGCGGGAGGGGGAUAACUACUGGAAACGGUAGCUAAUACCGCACACCAUCAGAUGUGCCCAGAUGGGAUUAGCUAGGAGGUGGGGUAACGGCUCACCUAGGCGACGAUCCCUAGCUGGUCUGAGAGGAUGACCAGCCACACUGGAACUGAGACACGGUCCAGACUCCUACGGGAGGCAGCAGUGGGGAAGAUUGCACAAUGGGCGCAAGCCGGAUGCAGCCAUGCCGCGUGUGUGAAGAAGGCCUUCGGGUUGUAAAGCACGUUCAGCGGGGAGGCGUUACCCGCAGAAGAAGCACCGGCUAACUCCGUGCCAGCAGCCGCGGUAAUUC
rnacentral:rRNA from 1 species